GUGUCAGCCGCCGCGGUAAAACGUAGGACGCAAGCGUUAUCCGGAGUUACUGGGCGUAAAGCGCAAGCAGGCGGUGUCCCAAGUGGGCUGUGAAAGCGCCCGGCUAAACCGGGCGAGGCCAGUCCAGACUGGGAUACUGGAGGACAGCAGAGGCGUGUGGAAUUCCGGGUGGAGUGGUGAAAUGCGUAGAGAUCCGGAGGAACACCAGAGGCGAAGGCGGCACGCUGGGCUGUAACUGACGCUGAGAUGCGACAGCUAGGGGAGCGAACGGGAUUAGAUACCCGUGUAGUCC
rnacentral:rRNA from 1 species